rnacentral:rRNA from 1 species
CCCUUAGAUGUUCUGGGCUGCACGCGCGCUACACUGAUGCGCUCAACGAGUUUACGACCUUGCCCGGAAGGGUUGGGUAAUCUUUUUAAAACGCAUCGUGAUGGGGAUAGAUUAUUGCAAUUAUUAAUCUUUAACGAGGAAUUCCUAGUAAGCGCGAGUCAUCAGCUCGUGCUGAUUACGUCCCUGCCCUUUGUACACACCGCCCGUCGCUCCUACCGAUUGAAUGAUCCGAUGAAUAUCAUGGAUUGAGAGUACGAAUGGGUUCGCUCAUUUCUGCUGCUCGAGAAGUGAAGUAAAUCUUAUCAUUUAGAGGAAGGAGAAGUCGUAACA